AGCACUUUUCCUUGCUGCCGCCAUGAGAAGAAGUAUGUGUUUUCUUCCCCUUCUGACAUGAUUGUUAAGUUUCCUGAGGCCUCCCCAGCCAUGCUGAACUGUAUUGCCUCCAGCACACUGUUUACAUUCCUACUGUGUCUCAGCAUCUGUUCUCCUGGGAAUAGAACUGGUCCACCUGAACAUAUGAUCUGUGCUGCUGUUGGUGCAGGAGGACAGGAGGGAAAUAAGCUGGAAGCCAUGGAUGUGGAGAGUCUGGCUUCAAGAUGGAGCUUGUUUACCUGCAGGGCCCCAUGCAGAACCUCAUGAGACGUGACUUCAGAGGCCUCCUCUCUGAAGGUGAGGGAGGCGUCAGCUGUUCAGAGAGAGAGGCUGCCUUGCCUGGGGACACACAGCUAGCCAGUGGCCGGAGCAGCAGUGGAUGCAGUUGUCCUGAUGCAUAGUUCAAGAAGCUUUUUUUUUUUUUUUUUUUUUCACGUGUGAAAACAUCUAUUGGGAAAAUGGAAAAAUCAUUUGACCUCAUAUUCCUCAUAGCUGACAUGACCUACAGGGAACGAAGAAGAAGGUUAAACGAGGACAAGAAGCUCUGAAGGCACCAUCCUCCACAUUGACAGAACCAUCUGGAGCAUGAAUUUGGGGAGAGCUUGGUUCUGAGACAGCGCUGCUCAGUCCCAUGCAGACACCAGCCCUGCUCCCUGCUCCGAUCAGAGUCAUAAGCCACGAUUCAUGCUGUUAAGAGCAAUUUUCAUUCUUAACCUUUCUGGUAUGUCUCUUCCUGAUCAGUUUGUCAGCCACUCCCUUUCUCAAAGUAUUUCUGUUCAUGACACCUUAAUUGAUUUUCCAUAUUUUUCUGUCCAGAGCUCAUUAAAAUCUCAUCUUCUUGCAUAUAAUAAUGUGCAAGUGUGGGAAGCACUGCUUUCCAAAUUUCGGGUACUUUGAAUUUUGGAGUCUUUACACUCCAUGGCAUUCUUGGCCCUUUGCUGGGGAGGGAGAUGAUGAAGAUCAAUCUGUCUUUCACCACCACUUCCAAAAUAUCCUGGGCAAUGCCAAGAGAGGUAUCCAGUGGCACAUGAGAGCGCAUGGAGAGAUUACCUCUUUAACCUAGCCAAGUGUUGAUUACCCAGCUAUUGAAAUGCCCCUUGCAUAUUCCUCGAUCCGCCCCUCUCUCUGACGUAAACAAGGUGUCCUCUGCAGGUGAGGCUUCAGUGUCUGCUCCAUACCAGUCACCUCCUUCUGUGCAGAAUUCUGCAUUUCCAUUUCCAUGAACUCACAUAGUCUUCACAAUAGCCCAAAGGUGGGCUGAUGCCUUUAAACCCAUUUUACUGACAGAGAAAGAAAGGAUUGAGAAAUCGGUGCACACAGUUCCCCAGUAGCUUCUGGAUGGGCCCAGUCCUCCCCUCAAGCCUAAUGUGCUUGCCAUUCUGCACGUUUCAGUGAAAAGGCAUUUUUCCAGGAGCAGGCUGAAAUGUGGGCCAGCCACUCGCAGGGCUUAGGCAGUGAGUGCUCCUAGUGGUGGGAGCCCCGAGAGAGGACCUCUCCUGGUGGUUCAAGAUUGUCUGAUCAGGUGGUGAGGAGGAACACAGAAAAGGGCUUUGGAGGAUCUGAACAAAACCACGAAUGAGCUAAGAGCAGCCUUUUGAUUAUUACUGUCGACCCCCAGGGGCCUGGCGGGAGGAUGUUGGUGUUCAUCGUCCCAAGCAGGAGUUGCCCAGUGGCCUGGAUCCCAGGGGGCAUGCGGGAGAUUUUUCAGUGUCAGUGCAGACUCCAGCCUUGCCUGUCCCCGGGGCAGAGCUUCUAAUAGGAGCCACGGGUAUUUUUAGUCUCACGUGUGCAGGCACAGGACAAGGCGAGCUGGACAGGAACAGCUAAUAAGCCGCGGUCCUUAUUAAGUUGGAAAGGAUGAAAUGAGGGGAUGAGGGGGAGCCUGGUGGAACUUUUCACACGUCUCAUUUUCAGAGAACUCUCUUUCCAUAAUUCACAGAGAAAUAUUGAGGUCAGGGUGAUUAUGCACAGGCCCAGUGGCAGAAGCCUGAAAGUGGGGCAUGUUCAAUUCCUGUGGCCUGCCGGUCCCCUCCCCACAGGGCUCUGCUCUGCCCUCCGGGCAAGGAGGUUGCGAUGGAGGGAUGAGCGGCUUUGGGGCUUGGCUGUCAAGGCUCCUGGGGUGGUGUGGGGGCUUUGAAAAGGACUAAAUUAGAAACUGGUUCCUAAUAUGAUAUGCAAAGCCACAGGGGAUAGUUGAGUGGUAUCAACUAUUAUCCUGAGUUCAUAGAUGAGGAAAUAGAGGCUCAGGGAGGUGUGGGACUUGGUAAGGUCACGUAGUUCAGAAGUGGCAGAGCUAGGAUUCACACUCAGUGUCCUAGACCAAGGUCUAUCAUUAUUUGCCCCCAAGGAUAGGCAGUUGUGUGUAAGACCCAUUGUUCAUUUUACUUAACUCACAAACAUCUUUUUUUUCUAUGCCAACUCUGUAUCAGGAACUUUAUCACUGGAAUGGGGCAGUGAGGAUGAUACAAUUCCUGCUCUCAAGGAGCUCUCGAUUUAGUGAGGGCAACAUAGCAUCAACUCCCAGCUGGACUUUGGUGCAGUGAGUGUGCAAGCUUGUCCUGUGGGCAAAGCAGACUGGGAAGUGAAAUUGGCAGAUUUCCAAUCUUUGGUGUUGAGUGUGAGGACAGUCAGGUCUCCACUAGUACAGUCCAUUUUCCUUCUGUAUGGCCUCUUCUGAGGUUGAGACUGGAGAGUGGGCUAGGAAGGGGCAAGUAAGUCCUCAGCCCCUUUCUGGGCCCUGCGGCUCUAAGCAUUGUGAUGCUUGGAGUCUGUGGCAGGAGUCCCUUAGUGAGGAUAUGGGCAAGGCUGGAAUGCAGGUAGCACACGGGACUGGCUGUUGUCAGCUACCCACUUCCUCACCACCCCCAUCUUUAUGGUUUGAGAGCAAUGGGAGAGAGAAUGAAAAUUGUGAUUUGGGAGUGAAAACAUUUUAGUGAGUUUCUUGCAGCCUUCCUGCCCAGCCCAAAGCCAGCCAUGGCAUAUGUGCUUCUGUCCAUCUAUUUAUCCCUCCACUCCACCGCAUACUUGAGCACCAUGCUCUUUCAUAUCCAUCCAUCCACUCCAUCUAUCCGAUCCAUCCCACUUAGCUAUUCCUUCCAUUGAAACCUAGACACCACUGUGCAAACCAUCAGCCAACCCCACCUUUCUGUUCCUUCCGCCUAAUAUGCUUUGUCCAUUCACCCAUUCUUUAUUCAUUCAGUUACCCCCCUCCCCCAUUCCCAUCCAAUUACGAUUCCUUCAUUCCAUCUGUAAUCAACACUAUGUUCUAGGACUGUGUCUGAUGUUGUGGGGACACACAGAUGAACGAAUCUCUCUCAUGUAGUUGACCUAGAAGAUAGUGUGUAGAUCCACUUAUGAAGAUAACAAUGGAAUUGAAGAGGGUCCCAAGAGAAGAAACACAAAGAAUCUGGAUGAAGGGGAAGAGACAGAGCUGAAUGACGAGCAAUUGAAAUGCUUGGCACUCUCCUUUCUGGGAAGAUAUUAUGAAAAGAGAGAGAAAGAGGAUAAAGGGGAAAAAGGGAAGGAAGACAGGAAGGCUGGAAGGCUGGAAGGCAGGAGGCAGGAAGGAAGAGGGGAAGGAAGGAAGGAGUAGGGAAAGAAGGUGCUAUGGGAUGAAUAUUUGUGCCCCCCCCCUCAAAUUCAUAUGUUGAGAUCCUAACUUCUAAGGUGAUAAUAUCAAGAGGUGGAGGCUUUGGGAAGUGAUUAAGUCAUAAGGCUGGAUCCCUCACAGAUAGAAUUAGUGCCCUUGUAAAAGCAGUUCGAAAAACCUUCUUUGAUCCUUCCGCCAUGUGAGAACAUAGCAAGAAGGUGCCGGCUGGGCAUGGUGGCUCAUGCCUGUAAUCCCAGCACUGCGGAGGCCGAGGUGGGUAGAUCACCUGAGGUCAGGAGUUCGAGACCAGCUGGGCCAACAGGGUGAAACCCUGUCUCUACUACAAAUACAAAAAUUAGCUGGGUGUGGUGAUGCAUGCUGGUAAUCCCAGCUACCCAGGAGGCUGAGGUAGGAGAAUUGCUUGAACUCAGGAGGCAGAGCUUGCAGUGAGCCAAGAUCACGCCAUUGCUCUCUAGCCUGGGAGACAGAGUGAGACUUCAUCUCAAAAAAGAAAAAAAAAAAAAGAAGGUGCUGUCUUUGAACCAGGAAGUGUGCUCUCAACAAACACAGAAUUUGCUGCCACCUUCAUCUUGGAUUUCCCAUUGUCUAGAGCUGUAAGAAAUAAAUUUCUGU
rnacentral:lncRNA from 1 species